GAUGAACGCUGGCGGCGUGCCUAAUACAUGCAAGUCGAGCGAACAGACGAGGAGCUUGCUCCUCUGACGUUAGCGGCGGACGGGUGAGUAACACGUGGAUAACCUACCUAUAAGACUGGGAUAACUUCGGGAAACCGGAGCUAAUACCGGAUAAUAUAUUGAACCGCAUGGUUCAAUAGUGAAAGACGGUUUUGCUGUCACUUAUAGAUGGAUCCGCGCCGCAUUAGCUAGUUGGUAAGGUAACGGCUUACCAAGGCAACGAUGCGUAGCCGACCUGAGAGGGUGAUCGGCCACACUGGAACUGAGACACGGUCCAGACCCCUACGGGAGGCAGCAGUAGGGAAUCUUCCGCAAUGGGCGAAAGCCUGACGGAGCAACGCCGCGUGAGUGAUGAAGGUCUUCGGAUCGUAAAACUCUGUUAUUAGGGAAGAACAAAUGUGUAAGUAACUAUGCACGUCUGGACGGUACCUAAGCAGAAAGCCACGGCUAACUACGG
rnacentral:rRNA from 1 species